CGGGGCGGGAGCUAUUAAUGCUCUCGAGCGUGCGGACUGAUACCUUGCUCUCUGAUCUUCCCGGCGGACGGGUGAUUAAACCCUGGGUACCCUGCAAUCAGACUGGGUUGCCUCCUGAGACUUUGGGCUAAUGCCGAAUAUUCUUUUGAGCUGCCUGGUUCAAAAUUGAGGGGCGGGUUCCGCUGUCACUUAGGGAUAGACCCCCCUCACGUUAGCUACUUGGUGAGGUAACGGCUCACCGUUGCCUCGAUGCGUAGCCGACGUGAGAGGGUGAUCGGCCACACUGGGACUGAGACACGGCUUUCACUCCUACGGGAGGCAGCAGUAAUGAAUCUUCCGCAAUGGACGAAAGUCUGACGGAGCAACGCCGCGUGAGUGAUGAAGGCUUUCGGGUCGUAAAACUCUGUUGUUAGGGAAGAACAGAUGCUAAUUGAAUAAUCUGGCACCUUGACUUGCCCUAACCAGAAACCCCCCCCUAAUUACUUGCCAGCCACCGCGAAAAAUCUCA
rnacentral:rRNA from 1 species